rnacentral:rRNA from 1 species
AUUGAACGCUGGCGGAAUGCUUUACACAUGCAAGUCGAACGGCAGCACGGGGCAACCUGGUGGCGAGUGGCGAACGGGUGAGUAAUACAUCGGAACGUGCCCAAUCGUGGGGGAUAACGUAGCGAAAGUUACGCUAAUACCGCAUACGAUCUACGGAUGAAAGCGGGGGAUCGCAAGACCUCGCGCGAAUGGAGCGGCCGAUGUCAGAUUAGGUAGUUGGUGGGGUAAAGGCUCACCAAGCCGACGAUCUGUAGCUGGUCUGAGAGGACGACCAGCGACACUGGGACUGAGACACGGCCCAGACUCCUACGGGAGGCAGCAGUGGGGAAUUUUGGACAAUGGGCGCAAGCCUGAUCCAGCCAUUCCGCGUGCAGGAUGAAGGCCUUCGGGUUGUAAACUGCUUUUGUACGGAGCGAAAAGGCUCUCUCUAAUACAGGGGGCUCAUGACGGUACCGUAAGAAUAAGCACCGGCUAACUACGUGCCAGCAGCCGCGGUAACAC